UAAAACGUAGGAGACGAGCGUUAUCCGGAAUUACUGGGCGUAAAGAGCGUGUAGGCGGAGCAACAAGUUGGUCGUGAAAGCUUCCGGCUAAACUGGGAGAGGUCGAUCAAGACUGUUGGUCUCGAGUUCGACAGAGGGGUAUGGAAUUCCGGGUGUAGUGGUGAAAUGCGUAGAGAUCCGGAGGAACACCAGUGGCGAAGGCGAUGCCCUGGGUCGAAACUGACGCUAAGACGCGAAAGCAUGGGGAGCGAACGGGAUUAGAAACCCCGGUAGUCCAUGCCGUAAACGAUGCCGACUAGGUGUUCGUGAGCCGCAAGGCUUGGGAGUGCCAAAGCCAACGCGCUAAGUCGGCCGCCUGGGGAGUACGAUCGCAAGGUUA
rnacentral:rRNA from 1 species